UAAGUGCUCAAUAAAAAGUGAGCAGCGCC
rnacentral:piRNA from 1 species